CGGCCAGACUCCUACGGGAGGCAGCAGUGGGGAAUAUUGCACAAUGGGGGAAACCCUGAUGCAGCGACGCCGCGUGAAGGAAGAAGUAUUUCGGUAUGUAAACUUCUAUCAGCAGGGAAGAAAAUGACGGUACCUGAAGAAGAAGCCCCGACUAACUACGUGCCAGCAGCCGCGGUAAUACGUAGGGGGCAAGCGUUAUCCGGAUUUACUGGGUGUAAAGGGGGCGCAGACGGCGAUGCAAGCCAGGAGUGAAAGCCCGGGGCCCAACCCCGGGACUGCUCUUGGAACUGCGUGGCUGGAGUGCAGGAGGGGCAGGCGGAAUUCCUGGUGUAGCGGUGAAAUGCGUAGAUAUUAGGAGGAACACCAGUGGCGAAGGCGGCUUACUGGACAGUAACUGACGUUGAGGCUCGAAAGCGUGGGGAGCAAACAGGAUUAGAUACCCCUGUAC
rnacentral:rRNA from 1 species